AACGCAUCUUGCGCUCCUUGGUAUUCCUUGGAGCAUGCCUGUUUGAGUGUCAUGAAAAGUUCUCAACCACACUGGCUUUUUCUGGUAUGGCUUGGAUUUGAGGGAUUUUGCAGGCUUUUUUUUCGAGUCGGCUCCCUUGAAAAUGAUUAGCGGUAUCUGAGCAUACUUGGAGGUGUGAUUAAAAAAUAUCUAUGCCUUGGCGUAUGUGAGAUCCUGCUUUUGGUGGUGGUUUUGAUGGAAUUUGACCUCAAAUCAGGUAGGACUACCCGCUGAACUUAA
rnacentral:misc_RNA from 1 species